AUGGAGCCCGAGGGUUUCAUAGACACCGUGACAGAAGGAGGGCAGGGCUCCUGGCAUUCAUGGAGCCUGUUGCUUUCCAGGAGGCUGGUUUGGGAGAAGAGCCAGAACUGCUGGCCGGCAUCCAGGUCUGGGCUGGAUUACCCGACUGGGCUUGCCCGGAGCCCUGAGUCCCAUUUGCCACCAGCCCAUGCCUGGAGACCAGAGGUCACAGAGGCCAGGGGUGUUCCCAGGGGAGCACAGCUUGGGUCCCCAAAGCAUGCUGUGUGCCAGGGCCCCACCUUGUCACUUCCAGCCAGAAGCUUCUCACUGCUCUGGGUGUUGAGAAGCAGGGCAGAUGCAGCACCCUCACACUCUUCAGGAGAAUGCAGCCCAGGUGACCAGGCAUUGAUGCACCCUCAGGGAGGCCACACGCUCAAGGAGGCCACCCCCGCUGGCUGCUGCUCACAUGGUUUCUGGGCCCCUGGCACUCCGGUAGGCUGGGGAGGGAGGGCCAGGGAGGUGUGGGAGAGGGGCAGAGGGAGGAUGCCUGGGCCUUCUCCUGGAGACUCUGGGCAGCCCACAGCUGCCAUGGGCCUGCACCCUGGCCUGCAGUGCAGUCCUUUGUGUUCAGGCAGCACUGGGGAGCAUGGAGGAGAGGCUGGGGCUUGGGGAGGAGGGGCUACUGUGGGCUCAGGCUCUUGGAGAUUGGGACCUCCUGCCCUUCGUCAGUUCCUUUGCCAGACCUGGAGACUGCACGUCCCAGGUACUGGUGAAGCUGACAUAGCAUUUCCCUUGGGCUGGGUGUCCUGGCCAGUGUGGAACCAUGCCUUGGGCUCUUUGUUCCUACCUGGCUGGCUCAAGGGCAGGGAGUGGUGCAGGGUUGGUUCCCUGGGGAGGCUCCAGCCUCUGAGUUUCUUGAAACAGUGUGACGAGGCUGAGCUGGCCCAAGGUGCUUGCUGCCUCCUGCUGUCAGCCCUGGGUGCUGGCCAAAGUGUUCACAGGGCACUGGAAGCCUUCCUUAGGGUGCACAGGUUAUGGGAGGGCUCUCUGCAUCUUUGAGAAUGAGGGCAGAUGCGGGCCUGAGAAAGUUUUGUGUCACAGGGAGGCAGGGCUGCGUGCCAUGUGGGUGGGGGAAGCUCCGCAAUCAGUUCCUUUCAGAGGUCAGAGGUCAGGUUCUGAAUGGAAGAACUUGAAGGCCCCUCAUUGGCCUCACAGCACAGAGAACCUGGGGGAGUGCUUGGAGGGGCUGCGAGCCACGGCCUUGCCCAGCGGCCCUGCUGCCCAGUGGUAUGGGCACAUGGUUCAGGCACAGUGCCCCAUGGCCACUGACAGGGUUCCUUGGCGUGUUUACUACUCAGUGACACCAGUUAGCAUCUUGGCCAGGCUGGGUGAGUUUCCCAGGCCACCUCUCCUUCUCAGCUCCCAGAGACCCAGGCCAGGAAGGUGCUCAGUGCCCGUGGGGUGGGGGCAGGGGUGGCCCUUAGGCUGUAGUGUUAGGUGAUACUGGCAGACCUCAAAGUCUGGGAAGCCUCUAGGGUUGUUGAGAAGGACCCAGCCUAAAGCAGGGAUCGCAGACCAGAGGCUGCGUGUUUGAUCUAGCCCACAUGGUGUUCAAGGAAAAAGAACCUUCACUUUGCAUCGGGCAGUUUCAUCUGGAAAUCUGGACUUCCGGCUUACUCUUUUUUUUUUUUUCCUUUUUAUGGCUGCACCUGCAGCAUAUGGAAGUUUCUGGGCUGGGGUCGAAUUGGAGCUACAGCUUGUGGCACUGCUGGAUCCUUAAUCCGCUGAGUGGGGCCAGGGAUUGAACCCCCAUCCUCACCGACACUGUGUUGGGUUCUUUACUCAGUGAACCACAACAGGAAUUCCUUCUGACUUAUUCUGAAAGCUGGGGAGCUGUGUGCCCUUGUAGGAAGUCCACCCACUUAGGGGCUCCUGUCCCUUCAAUUCCUGCUACUACCCAGUAUCUCCUAGUCCCUUGCCGGUUACUUCUGGGUCCCCCCAGGCAUGGAGUUGGCCACCUUUGGUGCAGAGAUGGUACCUUGGGCUGUGGAGCCAAAUU
rnacentral:lncRNA from 1 species